rnacentral:ncRNA from 1 species
UAUUUUUUGAGUUUGAUGAUGGCUCUGAUUGAACGCUGUCCAAGUACUUGACACAUGCUAAUCGUACGACUUUAUUUUUUUUUGUAAAGUAGUGGUGUACAGGUGAGUAAAUGAUAAUUUGGCUACCUUAAAGUAAGAGUAAAUCUCUUAUAAAAGAAAAGGAAAUCAAAAUUCUGCUUUAAGAUGUUAAUCUUUAUCUCGGUGAAGUAGUAGAAGAGGUAAUGUCUUUUUCUAGCUAACACUCGUAGUCGUGACUGAGAGGUCGAUCGACCACAUUGGGUCUGAAAAAACCCCAAUGCGUAUUAGUACAGCAGUGAGGGAUAUUGGUCAAUGGUCUAACGACUGAACCAGUAACUUGGAAGAAUGUAUGUAUUAUAAUUAAUACAAUAACGAUUAAUUCGUAUAAAAUUCUAAAUAGGAUAAUGAUAAUGACAAUUUCCUAUUUAUAAGUCUUGACCAAAUUACGUGCCAGCAGUCGCGGUAAUACGUAGAAGACUAGUGUUAGUCAUCUUUAUUAGGUUUAAAGGGUACCUAGACGGUAAAUAACACUUAAAUAGAGUAUUUAUUUACUAGAGUUUUAUAAGAGAAGGAAGAACUUCUGGAGUAGUGAUAAAAUAUGUUGAUACCAGAGGGACUGGUAACGGCGAAGGCAUCCUUCUAUGUAAAAACUGACGUUGAGGGACGAAGGCUUGGGUAGCAAUAAGGAUUAGAUACCCUAGUAGUCCAAGCAGAAAAUGAUGAAUGUCAUAGACUAGAUAAAAAUUUAGUCUAUAAAUGAAAGUGUAAGCAUUCCACCUCAAGAGUACUAUGGCAACAUAUAAACUGAAAUCAUUAGACCGUUUCUGAAACCAGUAGUGAAGUAUGUUAUUUAAUUCGAUAAUCCGCGAAUAACCUUACCACAAUUUGAAUAUAUUAAGUUAUUACAAGCGCUGCACGGCUGUCUUUAGUUAAUGUCGUGAGAUCUGGUUAACUCCUAAAAUUAACGAAAACCCUCAUUUUAUUUGUAUAUAUAAAGUGGUUCUCCAGUAUAGUGGAAAGAUAAAAGGGAUUAAGACAAGUCAUCAUG